UAAUGCUGGGAUGUGGUGGGGAGCGAAAGUUAGUAGCGAAGUAGCUGAUUUCCCACUGUAUAGAAAUGCCUAUAGCGAGGUUAAAAGUACCCGUACCGCAAUCCGGCAGAGGGUGGUUAGUAGAUUAGCCUAAGGCCAGCGAGAGAACGUUUGUUAAGGAACUCGGCAAAAUGACCCCGUAACUUAGGGAUAAGGUGUGCCAACAUCAGGUGGCCGCAGAGAAUAGGCCCAAGCGACUGUUUACCAAAAACAUAGGUUUCUGCUAAGUCGCAAGACGAUGUAUAGGAGCUGACGCCUGCCGGGUGCUGGAAGGUUAAGGGGAUCUGUUAGAGCAAUCGAAGCAGUGAACUUAAGCCCCAGUAAACGGCGGCCGUAACUAUAACGGUCCUAAGGUAGCGAAAUUCCUUGUCGGGUAAGUUCCGACCCGCACGAAAGGCGUAACGAUUUGGGCACUGUCUCA
rnacentral:rRNA from 1 species